rnacentral:rRNA from 1 species
UACAGAGGGGGCAAGCGUUGUUCGGAAUUACUGGGCGUAAAGGGCGCGUAGGCGGCCCUCUAAGUCGAACGUGAAAUCCCUGGGCUCAACCCAGGAACUGCGUCCGAGACUGGGGGGCUAGAAUCCGGGAGAGGGAUGUGGAAUUCCAGGUGUAGCGGUGAAAUGCGUAGAUAUCUGGAGGAACACCGGUGGCGAAGGCGGCAUCCUGGACCGGUAUUGACGCUGAGGAGCGAAAGCCAGGGGAGCAAACGGG